CAGGAUCAGGGGAAGGUGAGUCGUAGGACGUUUGGGCUCCAGAAAAGUCGGGAGCCCUCCCAGCUCGUCGCCUUGAGCUUGACUCAUCCGACCCCGCAGGCCUCUCUGGGAUGUCGUAUAAAGGGCUGCUGCUAGGAAAUGAACCUGCUCGGAAGCCAGUUUCUCCUAGAUUAAACACAAACCAUCUAAGGCUAGAAUGUUAUAGAACUGCCCUGCUGUAUUCCCUGCUCUUGACCUGAAGGAACAGAAGUCACUAAGCCACGGUCCACUAUGGUGCUAGGGGGAGGGAAUGAAGCCACAGCCUCUGGCCAUUGGGACCAAGGCUCAGCCAGAAGGAUGCCUACUUCCUUCCUGAGAAGUCAACUUUCAUCUGCCCCUCCCAAAAUUAAAUGAAUAAUUAGCACUUAACUCACCUGCACUUGACUACACCUGUGUAACAGACCUGCCUGUAGACAGAGGACGAGACGUUUCAUCUGCUCUUUUUCUUUGGUUACUGCUUCAUUCAUGGGCCUUUAAUCUUCGCUGUGGCAUCCACGAAGUGUUCCUAUAUCUUCAAAUAAUACAAUACUUUAAAAAUGAGUUGUCUGCAAUCGCUUACACAAAACUACUUCAGAGACAGACGUCAAAUUCAGAUGGAAAGGACUGGAAAGGCUGCUUGCCAGAGGUGCUGAGAGGAUUUCACAGGGCUGGCCCCUCCUGCAGAAUGGAGGAUGACCUCACAUGGUGAAGAGGAGUCACUCCCCAGAGCAGCUGCCAGAAGCCACAGCUUGCCAUGGCCUGGGGCCAUUGCCAGUGCUCCACAGGGUGACAGACUUUGAGGCCGAGGGAUGCUCUGCUGUAAGGAGGAAGUAUUGCUCGGUUUACAAAAUACGCCUCAGGAUAAGACUUGAGUUCACUGAGCUGCCUUUCAUCUUCCCGGAUAAGGGCCCCUAAGAAGUGGCCGGGACCUCUCCAUCGAUGAGCGAAGACUUCCAGGAACAGAGAAUUGAAGGAGACAGCUAUUGGAUUAAUUUUAAGAAGGUUUUGCUGGAAUUUCUCAUAAAGAAUACAUGGACAGUAAAGACAUGAGAAAUUAUAGCUCUCUGGGUCAAAAAAAAAAAAAGAAAAGAAAAGAAAGAAAGAAAGAAAACCACCUCUAAAUUCCCAUAGUUUUUCUUAGUCUUUAUUGAAAAAUUCAUUUACUGCUAAUGGUGUCAAGAGGUGCUGUCAGCCCUUGUUAUUGUACCAAAAAGAAAAAUAAAGAAAAGGUUUAGGGAGCCCUGUCUAAAAAGGAAUGUUGUCAUUUCUAUUUUCCAACUCUCAAGUGAAAACAGAUUCUGUUAUCUCAACUUCACAGAGCUAAGGGCCCAAUAACCACCUUGUUCUCGUGAGUUUGUGAAGCCUGGUAAGAAAUUUAUACUAAAUAAAAGGGGGAACUGGGCAAGCCAUUGCCUUUCGGAGAAGAAGAAUAAAAUAAGAUGGAAAUCAACAGGGAAAAUGGUGAAAACACAAGUCUAGGUUUUCAGAUGAUUCUAGAGCCCUAGCAUCAACCGUGGCUUAAGUCUUAGAACAUAUCAAAUUCAGUACUAAUUUUGGCCUAUAUAAGAAAACAAGUCACAGAUUUGCUGAAACUCCAUUGUAGCAUUUUAGCUUCAAGUCUUUGGGAGCUACUGGGGAAUGUUUUUCUUUCUUCCCUCAGAUUCUAUCAACAUUGUUUGGUGCUUUUCCACCAAGAUCUCUAAACAACUCCAACAGGCGUAUGCAGGUGAUAUCCAGAAGAAGGUAGACCAAGAUAUUAGAAACAGUUGGAGUAACUCAAGUCUUUAAUAUUGUCAAUAUUAGUCUCAAUAAUUCCACACCUAGACAACAUGCAUGAGAGAUGUUUUCUCAGCCAAGACGAAGGAGCUCCAGCAUGCACCGUGACAUGCGUUCCCUCAUUAGGCAUGCUUCUUUUUGGAAUUAGUCUUCAGCAAUAAUCAUUCAGUGUAACCUUUAGUCUCCAUGAACCAAAACACAGCACAACCUCGGGCUUUACCCAUCCCUUGGGAUUGAGAAGCAGUUCUGUGUGUAAGUAGCAAUUUCAUCCUGAUUUUUCAAGCUUGGUGCUCUCUCACCUUCCACACACUUGAAGAGAAGAUGUUGGGUUGGAUGGCUGGCCCUGAGGAACCUUAUCUUUCAUUUCUCUGGUGAGAAAGAAUCUGAUUUAACAUGGUUUUCCUUUACCCUGAACAUGCCAGGUGACCCUUCCCCAUCUUGUAAUAUCCUGUGACCACCUCCACCCAUUCAUCCCCAGCUCUUGCCCAGUUCCUGUGAGUUGAAAGAGAACGCAGAAUUACAGCAUUCAGAACCGAAGCAGAUGUAGUGCUUGGAUAGGCCAAGCCUUUCUAUGAUGAGGACUUAUUGGCAACCCAGAGAAGUGGGGUUGCAAUCCAGUCCUCUUGCAUCCAGUCCUCUGACUCUUUAUGGGAAAAGCUUGGCCCUAGUCUCCCUGACUUCUCAUGCUCAUUUCAUCUCAUCUGGACAUCUCACCAGACCUGAGUCAUGAAAACAGUGGGGCACCGAGGCCAGCCAUACUCUAUGAAGUGGUGGUAUUUUCGCUCAUCUAAACUUGGCUUAUCUUUCUAAAAACUUGGGUGUUGGAACCCAACUUGGAAAUCACCUGUUUGAUCCUCCCACGCAUGCAGGUCUCUCACCUGCAAUAUUCUUGAGACAAUUAUUUGGUUUCUGCUUUCUUAUUUCCUGUUAUUAGGAGCUAUCUUCCAGAAACAUAAAAAUUUCACUAGAAUGUUUUUGUUGUUAUAUGGAGCUAAAAGUUACCUUUUCUGUGACAAAGGAGGCAAGAAUCGACAAUGGGGAAAAGACAGUUUCUUCAACAACUGGUGCUGGGAAAACUAGAAGCUACAUGCAAAAGAAUGAAACUGGACCACU